rnacentral:rRNA from 1 species
GACGAACGCUGGCGGCGUGCUUAACACAUGCAAGUCGAACGGUAAGGCCCUUCGGGGUACACGAGUGGCGAACGGGUGAGUAACACGUGGGUGAUCUGCCCUGCACUUCGGGAUAAGCCUGGGAAACUGGGUCUAAUACCGGAUAGGACCACUGCCUGCAUGGGUGGUGGUGGCAAGCUUUUGCGGUGUGGGAUGGGCCCGCGGCCUAUCAGCUUGUUGGUGGGGUGAUGGCCUACCAAGGCGACGACGGGUAGCCGGCCUGAGAGGGUGACCGGCCACACUGGGACUGAGAUACGGCCCAGACGCCUACGGGAGGCAGCAGUGGGGAAGAUUGCACAAUGGGCGCAAGCCUGAUGCAGCGACGCCGCGUGAGGGAUGACGGCCUUCGGGUUGUAAACCUCCUUCAGCACCGACGAAGCGCAAGUGACGGUAGGUGCAGAAGAAGGACCGGCCAACUACGUGCCAGCCGCCGCGGUAA